rnacentral:lncRNA from 1 species
AAAUAGUUGUGUAUUAUCUGUUCGUUAGUACUAAUCAUUAAUUUUAAAAACUCGAGUUGGUUACUUAAAUGGUAUAGACACAACGUCAGCAUGCAUGAAUCGAACCCAUGACCUCUGUAUCUAAUAUCGCUUGUCAGAUUGUUGGUGUUAUCUAUAUAUUAACUUCAAAAACCAAAGCUGUUAGAAAUACGCAACUAAUAUACUUAAAGCGUACAGAAACAGCGUCUACGGGUGUCAACUGUGACUCGGCUCAACCAGUCUCACGUCACUUUGAACAUGACU